CUAAUUAGAUGCCUUGAGUUCAGUUUUGGUAGUUGUAUGACAUAGGUUGAUUGUUGGAAUCUAAAUUCUCUACGUUACGUUAAUAGAUCAUUGUAUGAAUCAAUGAUCCGACCGUUGGAUCGUCACCAAACUUUAAUACGUUAUAGUACGUACUAUUUCAGGACCAUAGGAACUUACGGAUUGGGAAUCGGAUAUACGGAUCUUCCCAAAAUUUGAUUUGUAAGUUCAUAAAAUAAAAGGUUAACCGCCACUUGGUUUUGACAAUUGGCAGAGAUCUGACCGUUGGAUCGUAAUGGGA
rnacentral:lncRNA from 1 species